rnacentral:miRNA from 14 species
GGGGGUUUCUCUGGCCACAGUAUG